GACGAACGCUGGCGGCGUGCUUAACACAUGCAAGUCGAACGAAUUGGAGAACGGGUGAGUAACGCGUAAUCAACCUGCCCUUCAGAGGGGGACAACAGUUGGAAACGCCUGCUAAUACCGCAUCCUGCAGGAGGGGAUUGCGUCUGAUUAGCUAGUUGGGGGGGUAACGGCCCACCAAGGCGAUGAUCAGUAGCCGGUCUGAGAGGAGGACCGGCCACAGUGGGACUGAGACACGGCCCAGACUCCUACGGGAGGCAGCAGUGGGGAAUCUUCCGCAAUGGACGAAAGUCUUACGGAGCAACGCCGCGUGAGUGAUGACGGCCUGCGGGUUGUAAAGCUCUGUUAAUCGGGACGCGGUACCGGAAUAGAAAGCCACGGCUAACGACGUGCCAGCCGCCGCGGUAAUUC
rnacentral:rRNA from 1 species